GAUGAACGCUAGCGGCAGGCCUAACACAUGCAAGUCGAGGGGCAGCACAUGAGUAGCAAUACGAUGGUGGCGACCGGCGCACGGGUGAGUAACACGUAUGCAACCUGCCUGUAAGAGGGGGAUAACCCGGAGAAAUUCGGACUAAUACCGCAUAAUACCACGAGACUGCAUGGUUUUGUGGUUAAACAUUUAUGGCUUACAGAUGGGCAUGCGUAUGAUUAGAUAGUUGGUAGGGUAACGGCCUACCAAGUCUACGAUCAUUAGGGGUUCUGAGAGGAAGGUCCCCCACACUGGUACUGAGACACGGACCAGACUCCUACGGGAGGCAGCAGUGAGGAAUAUUGGUCAAUGGGCGAGAGCCUGAACCAGCCAAGUCGCGUGAAGGAAAGAAGGUUCUAUGGAUUGUAAACUUCUUUUGCAGGGGAAUAAAGGACGGUACGUGUACUGUUUUGUAUGUACCUUGCGAAUAAGGAUCGGCUAACUCCGUGCCAGCAGCCGAC
rnacentral:rRNA from 1 species